CUACGGGUUGCACCAGUGGGGAAUAUUGCACAAUGGAGGAAACUCUGAUGCAGCAACGCCGCGUGGAGGAUGACACUUUUCGGAGCGUAAACUCCUUUUAUAUAGGAAGAAGAUGACGGUACUAUAUGAAUAAGCGCCGGCUAACUCCGUGCCAGCAGCCGCGGUAAUACGGAGGGCGCAAGCGUUACUCGGAAUCACUGGGCGUAAAGAGCGUGUAGGCGGAUUAAAAAGUCAGAAGUGAAAUCCUAUAGCUUAACUAUAGAACUGCUUCUGAAACUCUUAAUCUAGAAGAUGGGAGAGGUAGAUGGAAUUUCUGGUGUAGGGGUAAAAUCCGUAGAGAUCAGAAGGAAUACCGAUUGCGAAGGCGAUCUACUAGAACAUUAUUGACGCUGAGACGCGAAAGCGUGGGGAGCAAACAGGAUUAGAUACCCCGGUAGUC
rnacentral:rRNA from 1 species